AUAUAAAGCUUAAUCUUAGUCAUUGGUAAACAAAAUUGAAAAUAUGGAGAGGUUCAUUGUCAUUGUAGAUAUGUCCAACAGGUUCCAAGGUCAAUCCCUCACUACAUCUGCAAAACCUGCUAAUGGUAACAUCGUAGAACAAAGUGUGGGUGGAAAUGAAACAAAAAACACACAAGGACCAGUGUUACAUGAAACAAGAGCUAAAACAGCAACACCUCUAGUGAAACCAGCUUCUCCUAAGACUGGUUGAUUAUUAAUUACUCCUACCGUCUUAAUUAUGUUAUGUAAUUUGACUUAUUAUAAAAAAUCAAUAAAUAAAGAAAAAUCUAUGAAGAAAGUUUUCUUUA